GGAGCUCCCGGGGCAGCGCUGAGGCUGCCGUGCGGGGGGAGCUCGCCGAGCAGCCCCGCCGCUCUCCCCGCGGCACGGCAAGCUCGUUGUGGUAAAGUGACAAGCUCUGUGUCCGGCGUUGGCUGCCCUCAGUUCCUCACUGUCCGUCGGUUCCUGCGCCAUGUUGCUGUUCCUGCGUGUCCAGAAUCACAGAUGCUGGCUGGAAAAGACCUCUGAGAUCACUGAGUCCAGCCUAUAACCGAACACCACAACGUCAACUAAACCACAGCACUAAAUGCCAGGUCCAGUCUUUCCUUAAACACCUCGGGAAGGGUGGCUCCACCAAGCCCAUGGGCACCCCAUUCCAAUGUCUAACCACCCUUUUUCUGUGAAGAAAUUCCUUCUAAUGUCCAAUCCAAACCUCUCCUGCUGCAGCUUAAGACGAUGCGCUCUUGUCCUGUCACAGGUUACCUGGGAGAAGACGCUCCUUUCAGAGGUGGCUUCCGUCCAUGAAGAAAAAACACCAACAGGGCAUGGCUGGCAAAGAGAUUGUCUCCACGGGAAUCCUUAUCCAGCACAUUUGCAGGGCUGGAAAGGUGUUUCCAACAUCCUGAAAACAUCUGCCAGGCUCAAGGCAAACAGACACUCAACAAUGAAGACUAAAUGCAGCACGUACCAAAGCCCAUCACAAAAUGUCGACCCUUCAGUAGCAAACAGCUGCAGUUGCCUGAGCUGGUGCCCUUCUUGCUCCAACUGCC